UACGGAGGGAGCUAGCGUUGUUCGGAAUUACUGGGCGUAAAGCGCACGUAGGCGGCUUUUUAAGUCAGGGGUGAAAUCCCGGGGCUCAACCCCGGAACUGCCCUUGAAACUGGAGAGCUAGAAUCUUGGAGAGGCGAGUGGGAUUCCGAGUGUAGAGGUGAAAUUCGUAGAUAUUCGGAAGAACACCAGUGGCGAAGGCGACUCGCUGGACAAGUAUUGACGCUGAGGUGCGAAAGCGUGGGGAGCAAACAGG
rnacentral:rRNA from 1 species